UACGUAGGGACCGAGCGUUGUCCGGAAUCAUUGGGCGUAAAGAGCGUGUAGGCGGCCACUUAAGUCCUGCGUGAAAUCUUGCGGCUCAACCGCAAGCGGUCGUGGGAAACUGGGUGGCUAGAGUGCGGGAGAGGAGAGUGGAAUUCCUGGUGUAGCGGUGGAAUGCGCAGAUAUCAGGAAGAACACCCGUGGCGAAGGCGGCUCUCUAGGUAACGGUCAACUGACGCUGAGGCGCGAAAGCGUGGGGAGCAAACGGG
rnacentral:rRNA from 1 species